rnacentral:rRNA from 1 species
AGCAGCCGCGGUAAUUCCAGCUCCAAUAGCGUAUAUUAAAGUUGUUGCAGUUAAAAAGCUCGUAGUUGAAUUUCGGGGUUCUACCGUUGGUCGGGCUUUGUCUGUACUGGCGUGUAGAAUUUCUACCUUCUGGGGAACCAUUAUGUUAUUAAUUUAGCGUAGUGGGAAACCAGGACCUUUACCUUGAAAAAAUUAGAGUGUUCAAAGCAGGCUUAUGUCUGAAUACAUUAGCAUGGAAUAAUAGAAUAGGACGGUGGUCCUGUUUUGUUGGUUUCUGAAUCACCGUAAUGAUUAAUAGGGAUAGUUGGGGGCAUUAGUAUUCAAUUGUCAGAGGUGAAAUUCCUGGAUUUAUUGAAGACUAACUUCUGCGAAAGCAUUUGCCAAGGAUGUUUUCAUUAAUCAAGAACGAAAGUUAGGGGAUCGAAGACGAUCAGAUACCGUCGUAGUCUUAACCAUAAACCUAUGCCGACUAGGGAUCGGACGAUGUUAACUUUUCUUGACUCGUUCGGCGCCUUACGGG